rnacentral:rRNA from 1 species
UACAGAGGUCCCAAGCGUUGUUCGGAUUUACUGGGCGUAAAGGGUGCGUAGGCGGUUGUUUAAGUCUGACGGGAAAUCUCCGGGCCUAACCCGGAAACUGCGUUGGAUACUAUUCAACUAGAGGAAUGGAGGGGAGACUGGAAUACUUGGUGUAGCAGUGAAAUGCGUAGAUAUCAAGUGGAACACCAGUGGCGAAGGCGAGUCUCUGGACAUUUCCUGACGCUGAGGCACGAAAGCCAGGGGAGCAAACGGG